AAAUUGAAGAGUUUGAUCAUGGCUCAGAUUGAACGCUGGCGGCAGGCCUAACACAUGCAAGUCGAACGGUAGCACAGAGAGCUUGCUCUCGGGUGACGAGUGGCGGACGGGUGAGUAAUGUCUGGGAAACUGCCUGAUGGAGGGGGAUAACUACUGGAAACGGUGGCUAAUACCGCAUAACGUCGCAAGACCAAAGAGGGGGACCUUCGGGCCUCUUGCCAUCAGAUGUGCCCAGAUGGGAUUAGCUUGUUGGUGAGGUAACGGCUCACCAAGGCGACGAUCCCUAGCUGGUCUGAGAGGAUGACCAGCCACACUGGAACUGAGACACGGUCCAGACUCCUACGGGAGGCAGCAGUGGGGAAUAUUGCACAAUGGGCGCAAGCCUGAUGCAGCCAUGCCGCGUGUAUGAAGAAGGCCUUCGGGUUGUAAAGUACUUUCAGCGGGGAGGAAGGUGUUGUGGUUAAUAACCACAGCAAUUGACGUUACCCGCAGAAGAAGCACCGGCUAACUCCGUGCCAGCAGCCGCGGUAAUACGGAGGGUGCAAGCGUUAAUCGGAAUUACUGGGCGUAAAGCGCACGCAGGCGGUCUGUCAAGUCGGAUGUGAAAUCCCCGGGCUCAACCUGGGAACUGCAUUCGAAACUGGCAGGCUUGAGUCUUGUAGAGGGGGGUGGAAUUCCAGGUGUAGCGGUGAAAUGCGUAGAGAUCUGGAGGAAUACCGGUGGCGAAGGCGGCCCCCUGGACAAAGACUGACGCUCAGGUGCGAAAGCGUGGGGAGCAAACAGGAUUAGAUACCCUGGUAGUCCACGCCGUAAACGAUGUCUACUUGGAGGUUGUGCCCUUGAGGCGUGGCUUCCGGAGCUAACGCGUUAAGUAGACCGCCUGGGGAGUACGGCCGCAAGGUUAAAACUCAAAUGAAUUGACGGGGGCCCGCACAAGCGGUGGAGCAUGUGGUUUAAUUCGAUGCAACGCGAAGAACCUUACCUGGUCUUGACAUCCACGGAAGUUUUCAGAGAUGAGAAUGUGCCUUCGGGAACCGUGAGACAGGUGCUGCAUGGCUGUCGUCAGCUCGUGUUGUGAAAUGUUGGGUUAAGUCCCGCAACGAGCGCAACCCUUAUCCUUUGUUGCCAGCGAUUAGG
rnacentral:rRNA from 1 species